AACGACUCUCGGCAACGGAUAUCUCGGCUCUCGCAUCGAUGAAGAACGUAGCGAAAUGCGAUACUUGGUGUGAAUUGCAGAAUCCCGCGAACCAUCGAGUCUUUGAACGCAAGUUGCGCCCGAAGCCUUCUGGCCGAGGGCACGUCUGCCUGGGUGUCACAC
rnacentral:rRNA from 3 species